CGAACGGGUGAGUAAUACAUCGGAACGUGUCCGCUCGUGGGGGGACAACCAGCCGAAAGGUUGGCUAAUACCGCAUGAGUUCUACGGAAGAAAGAGGGGGACCCGCAAGGGCCUCUCGCGAGCGGAGCGGCCGAUGACUGAUUAGCCGGUUGGUGAGGUAACGGCUCACCAAAGCAACGAUCAGUAGCUGGUCUGAGAGGACGACCAGCCACACUGGGACUGAGACACGGCCCAGACUCCUACGGAAGGCAGCAG
rnacentral:rRNA from 1 species